rnacentral:rRNA from 1 species
AUUGAACGCUGGCGGCAGGCCUAACACAUGCAAGUCGAACGAGUGGCGGACGGGUGAGUAAUGUCUGGGACACUGCCCGAUGGAGGGGGAUAACUACUGGAAACGGUAGCUAAUACCGCAUACCAUCGGAUGUGCCCAGAUGGGAUUAGCUUGUAGGUGCGGUAACGGCUCACCUAGGCGACGAUCCCUAGCUGGUCUGAGAGGAUGACCAGCCACACUGGAACUGAGACACGGUCGAGACUCCUACGGGAGGCAGAAGUGGGGAAUAUGGCACAAUGGGAGCAAGCCUGAUGCAGCCAUGCCGCGUGUAUGAAGAAGGCCUUCGGGUUGUAAAGUACUUUCAGCGUGGAGGCGUUACCCGCAGAAGAAGCACCGGCUAACUCCGUGCCAGCAGCCGCGGUAAUAC